UUUUGCUCUGUCCUUUUGGGACCCAAUUCCAUGCUGAUUGUGCUGUACCUCAGGAGCUGGACACAGAAUGAAAUUCUGAAGCAACUAAAGUAUAUUGAGAUGCUGAGGCCCCGGCUUGCUGCUAAUACGGCGAAAAUUAGGCAACACAAA